UACGUAGGGUGCGAGCGUUGUCCGGAAUUAUUGGGCGUAAAGAGCUCGUAGGCGGUGUGUUACGUCGGCCGUGAAAACCUGCAGCUUAACUGUGGGCGUGCGGUCGAUACGGGCAUCACUGGAGUUCGGCAGGGGAGACUGGAAUUCCUGGUGUAGCGGUGAAAUGCGCAGAUAUCAGGAAGAACACCCGUGGCGAAGGCGGUUCUCUGGGACGGUACUGACGCUGAGACGCGAAAGCGUGGGGAGCGAACAGG
rnacentral:rRNA from 1 species